rnacentral:rRNA from 1 species
UACGAAGGGUGCAAACGUUGCUCGGAAUUAUUGGGCGUAAAGCGCACGUAGGCGGCUUAGCAAGUCGAAUGUGAAAUCCCUCGGCUCAACCAAGGAAGUGCAUCCGAAACUGCUGAGCUUGAGUACUUAAGAGGAUCGCGGAAUUCCCGGUGUAGAGGUGAAAUUCGUAGAUAUCAGGAAGAACACCCGUGGCGAAGGCGGUUCUCUGGGACGGUACUGACGCUGAGACGCGAAAGCGUGGGGAGCGAACAGG